rnacentral:rRNA from 1 species
AUUGAACGCUGGCGGCAGGCUUAACACAUGCAAGUCGAGCGAGCGGCGGACGGGUGAGUAAUGUCUGGGAAACUGCCUGAUGGAGGGGGAUAACUACUGGAAACGGUAGCUAAUACCGCAUACCAUCAGAUGUGCCCAGAUGGGAUGAGCUAGGAGGGGGGGUAAUGGCUCACCUAGGCGACGAUCCCUAGCUGGUCUGAGAGGAGUACCAGUGACACUGGAACGUCGACAAGGUCCAGACGCCUACGGGAGGCAGCAGUGGGGAAUAUUGCACAAUGGGCGCAAGCCUGAUGCAGCCAUGCCGCGUGUGUGAAGAAGGCCUUCGGGUUGUAAAGCACGUUCAUCGAGGAGGCGUUACUCGCAGAAGAAGCACCGGCUAACUCCGUGCCAGCAGCCGCGGUAAUUC